AUUGAACGCUGGCGGCAGGCCUAACACAUGUACGUCGAACGAGUGGCGGACGGGUGAGUAAUGUCUGGGAAACUGCCUGAGGGAGGGGGAUAACUAAUGGAAACGAUAGCUAAUACUGCAUACCAUCAGAUGUGCCUAGAGGGGAUUAGUGAGUAGGUGGGGUAACGUCUCACCUAGGCGACGAUCCCUAGCUGGGCUGAGAGGAUGACCAGCCACACUGGAGCUGAGACACGGUCCAGUCACCUACGGUAGGCAGCAAUGAGGAAUAUUGCACAAUGGGCGCAAGCCUGAUGCAGCCAUGCCGCGUGGAUGAUGAAGGCCUUCGGGUUGUAAAGUACUUUCAGCGGGGAGGCGUUACCCGCAGGAGAGGCACCGGCUAACUCCGUGCCAGCAGCCGCGGUAAUUC
rnacentral:rRNA from 1 species